AUGGGAUCGCCGUGUUGGCAAAGAGAACAGAAGGAAGAUCUUGUCAACAACAAAGACGUGAACUUUUAAUCUGAAUGAAGCAGUAAAAGUAGUAGUUGAAUCGUCUUAAAAUCGGCCCAAUAGGAGGAAAUCUAAUUGCAGUGGCAUGUGACAUUGAUGUAAUGGCAUUUGUCACCACAAGAGGCGCUGAAAACAGUUGCACAGCACUUACCGAUGAAAUCCGUUGCACACCAGGUGGCCAUAAAUCGCUAGACAUAAGGUAGCCAAUUAGAUUGGAUUUUUGCAUGUAUUGACGUAUCGUUUGUUAACUUAACGGCGGUUCCACAAUGCACGUGUCGCGAUGAGCUACCAAAAAAGUGAUAUUUUCUUAAUUUUCGAAGAUUUAUAAAUUGGUCCACCAGCCUUUUCACUAUGCACGUGCCACAAUCAAUGAGCAAAAAAUGGUUUGUUGCAUUUCACUUAUCGGCCAGGGGUAACAUGUGAACAAUUAUUGUUAAAUCAUAUCUUCGGCGCACAUUGUUUACUGUUUCAUCUAGAUCUUUCUUCUAUCCAGUAGUUAAGAAUGUUAAGCUG